rnacentral:rRNA from 1 species
AUACGUAGGGGGCGAGCGUUGUCCGGAAUGAUUGGGCGUAAAGGGCGCGUAGGCGGCCCGGUAAGUCUGGAGUGAAAGUCCUGUUUUUAAGAUGGGAAUUGCUUUGGAUACUGUCGGGCUUGAGUGCAGGAGAGGUAAGUGGAAUUCCCAGUGUAGCGGUGAAAUGCGUAGAGAUUGGGAGGAACACCAGUGGCGAAGGCGACUUACUGGACUGUAACUGACGCUGAGGCGCGAAAGUGUGGGGAGUAAACAGGGUUAGAUACCCUGGUAGUCCACACUGUAAACGAUGAAUGCUAGGUGUAGGGGGUAUCGACCCCUUCUGUGCCGCAGUCAACACAAUAAGCAUUCCGCCUGGGGAGUACGGCCGCAAGGUUGAAACUCAAAUGAAUUGACGGGG